rnacentral:rRNA from 1 species
UUUUUUUCUUUUGCUCCGCCUUUGCACUGCCUGAAGGGACCGUUGUGUCUAUGAUAUGUUUUACCCCCUCCCAUGUGUUAUGGAUGUAUAUUGGAUGGCAUUUUUAUGUGAAUACCACUUUCAACUAUGGAUCUCUUGGCUCUCGCAUCCAUGAAGAACACAGCGAAAUGUGAUAAGUUAUGUGAAUUGCAGAAUCCAGUGAAUCAUCGAAUCUUUGAACGCCUCUUGCGCUCCUUGGUAUUCUGAGGAGCAUGCCUGUUUGAGUGUCAUUAAACUAUCAGAACACUACUUUUCUUUGGGUGUUUUGGACUUUGGGAGUGCUUUGCUGGUUUGCUUUUUCAAACCCAUCUCUCCUUAAAAGCAUUAGAUUGGAGAACCAUCUGUGUUGAAAUUGCUUGUUUACACUGACUUGAGUGUCUCUGCCUCUGCUAUUAUUUUUUGAUACCUUUGACCUCAAAUCGGGUAAGACUACCCGCUGAACUUAAGCAUAUCAAUAA